GUAACCUUUUAUUAGGAGCUAGCCGUCGAAGGUGGGACAGAUGAUUGGGGUGAAGUCGUAACAAGGUAGCCGUAUCGGAAGGUGCGGCUGGAUCACCUCCUUUCUAAGGA
rnacentral:rRNA from 1 species